UUAAAGAUGUCAGAGGUGUAUGAGUUUGUUUUAGGUGCAAUUAACAAGCGUUUAGUAGCUUUCUUUAAA
rnacentral:tRNA from 1 species